rnacentral:rRNA from 1 species
AGAGUUUGAUCCUGGCUCAGGAUGAACGCUGGCGGCGUGCCUAAUACAUGCAAGUCGAGCGAACAGAUAAGGAGCUUGCUCCUUUGAAGUUAGCGGCGGACGGGUGAGUAACACGUGGGUAACCUACCUAUAAGACUGGAAUAACUUCGGGAAACCGGAGCUAAUGCCGGAUAACAUUUGGAACCGCAUGGUUCUAAAGUAAAAGAUGGUUUUGCUAUCACUUAUAGAUGGACCCGCGCCGUAUUAGCUAGUUGGUAAGGUAACGGCUUACCAAGGCAACGAUACGUAGCCGACCUGAGAGGGUGAUCGGCCACACUGGAACUGAGACACGGUCCAGACUCCUACGGGAGGCAGCAGUAGGGAAUCUUCCGCAAUGGACGAAAGUCUGACGGAGCAACGCCGCGUGAGUGAUGAAGGUUUUCGGAUCGUAAAACUCUGUUAUUAGGGAAGAACAAAUGUGUAAGUAACUGUGCACAUCUUGACGGUACCUAAUCAGAAAGCCACGGCUAACUACGUGCCAGCAGCCGCGGUAAUACGUAGGUCACAAGCGUUGUCCGGAUUUAUUGGGCGUAAAGGGAGCGCAGGCGGUUUGUUAAGUCUGAUGUGAAAGCCCACGGCUCAACCGUGGAACGGCAUUGGAAACUGGCAAACUUGAGUAUAGAAGAGGAAAGUGGAAUUCCAUGUGUAGCGGUGAAAUGCGUAGAUAUAUGGAGGAACACCAGUGGCGAAGGCGACUUUCUGGUCUAUAACUGACGCUGAGGCUCGAAAGCGUGGGGAGCGAACAGGAUUAGAUACCCUGGUAGUCC